rnacentral:rRNA from 1 species
UUACCCCGCCGUGRSRRCYURGCAUAUUCAUUCCGCCGGGAGGAAAAGRACUARCAASGRAAUUCYCCCUAGUAACGGCGAGUGAAGCGGGGAUGAGCUCAAAUUUAAAWYCUGGGCUGGUUUACUAGUCCGAAUUGUAGUUUAAAGRAAGCGYKUUUYCGGUGGCAGCCUGGGUAUAAAUCCUUUGGAACAGGGUAUCAUAGAGGGUGAGAAUCCCGUCUUUGACUCAGUGCAUGCUACUAUGUGAUACGUUUUCAAAGAGUCGAGUUGUUUGGGAAUGCAGCUCAAAAUGGGUGGUAAAUUUCAUCUAAAGCUAAAUAUUGGCGAGAGACCGAUAGCGAACAAGUACCGUGAGGGAAAGAUGAAAAGAACUUUGAAAAGAGAGUUAAACAGUGCGUGAAAUUGUUGAAAGGGAAACGCUUGACACCAGUCAUGCGAGCGAAAAAUCAGUCUUUUGCAGUGGGGAGAUGUGUGGGUUCGGACCGCAAGGCCGGCCUGCGCUUCAUCUCUGCUGUAAGUGAUGCACUUUUUCGUUUGCAGGCCAACAUCAGUUUCUUUUGCUGGACAAAACUCUUGAGAAGGUAGCAGCUUUGGCUGUGUUAUAGCUCUUGAGCGAUACAGUGGAGGAGACUGAGGUUUUCGCAGCGCGUGCUCUCGGGCAAGGCUGAUUGGGUGCUAUGGGAUCGUUCGGUGUACAAUGCAUGCAUUUUGCGCCGUGUCUUUUCUAUACUCGCUCAACUCGGUUCUUCCGCGCUUAGGAUGUUGGCUUAAUGGUUUUAAUCGACCCGUCUUGAAACACGGACCAAGGAGUCUAACAUAUAUGCAAGUGUUUGGGUGGCAAACCCAUGCGCGUAAUGAAAGUGAACGUAGGUGCGAUCCGCAAGGUGCAGCAUCGACCGAUCUUGAUAUUUUUUGGAUAGAUUUGAGUAAGAGCAUAUAUGCUGGGACCCGAAAGAUGGUGAACUAUGCCUGAAUAGGGUGAAGCCCAGAGGAAACUCUGGUGGGAGGCUCGUAGCGAUUUCUGACGUGCAAAAUCGAUCGUYMAAWUUUGGGGUAUAGGGSCGRAAAGACUAAWYSRAMCUCRUCUAGGUAGCUUGAUUCCUUGCCGAAGUCGCGCGCCUCAAGUAAACCACYYUCUAGUACGACACUGCAUCUACGUUGCCACGUAUAUCGUUCUGCAUCACUAGCUA